rnacentral:rRNA from 1 species
UACGUAGGGUGCGAGCGUUAAUCGGAAUUACUGGGCGUAAAGGGCGCGUAGGCGGCAUGACAAGUCACUUGUGAAAUCUCCGGGCUUAACUCGGAACGGCCAAGUGAAACUGUCAAGCUAGAGUGCGGAAGGGGCAAUCGGAAUUCUUGGUGUAGCGGUGAAAUGCGUAGAUAUCAAGAGGAACACCUGAGGUGAAGACGGGUUGCUGGGCCGACACUGACGCUGAUGCGCGAAAGCCAGGGGAGCAAACGGG